GUCGGCUGGUGUAGUUGGUCACUUCACUGGUAUGGGUCGGUGACGAGUCGCGGGUUCGAAUCCCGCAGCUGACA